rnacentral:rRNA from 1 species
CCUACGGGAGGCAGCAGUGAGGAAUAUUGGUCAAUGGGCGCGAGCCUGAACCAGCCAAGUAGCGUGAAGGAUGAAUGCCCUACGGGUUGUAAACUUCGGUUAUAAAGGAAUAAAGUGAGGCACGUGUGCCUUUUUGUGUGUACUUUAUGAAUAAGGAUCGGAUAACUCCGUGCCAGCAGCCGCGGUAAUACGGAGGAUCCGAGCGUUAGCCGGAUUUAUUGGGUUUAAAGGGAGAGUAGAUGGGUUGUUCAGUCAGUUGUGAAAGUUUGCGGCUCAACCGUGAAAUUGCCAUUGAUACUGUCAGCCUUGAGUACAGUUGAGGUAGGCGGAAUUCGUGGUGUCGCGGUGAAAUGCUUAGAUAUCACGAAGAACUCCGAUUGCGAAGGCAGCUUACUAAACUGCCACUGACAUUGAUGCUCGAAAGUGUGGGUAUCAAACAGGAUUAGAUACCCCAGUAGUC